GCAGCCCCGAAGAGUAAAAGGCGGACAAAGAUAUCAAGUAAAACAUGGCGUCUUCAGGAACCUCCACCGACUGGCAAAGAGGAAAGACGCUGUCACAGUGUAUGGACCACGUAUUCACGUCUGGCACAACUAGUGAUGUAACGUUCCUUGUCGGUGAGGACAAGAAAAAGAUACCUGCCCACAAACUGAUCCUAAUAAGUAGAAGCCCAGUAUUCUACGCCAUGUUGGAGGAUCCAAUGGCUGAGAAAGGGGAGAUAACCAAUCUGGAUAUAACCGAAGACGUCUUUCAGCUGUUUUUACGAUGUCUGUACACAGACACAAUAAACUUGACGGAGAUGAACGUAGUACCAGUGUUGAAUGCCGCCAGG